rnacentral:rRNA from 1 species
GGGAUCAUUACCGAGUUUACAACUCCCAAACCCAAUGUGAACGUUACCAAACUGUUGCCUCGGCGGGAUCUCUGCCCCGGGUGCGUCGCAGCCCCGGACCAAGGCGCCCGCCGGAGGACCAACCAAAACUCUUAUUGUAUACCCCCUCGCGGGUUUUUUACUAUCUGAGCCAUCUCGGCGCCCCUCGUGGGCGUUUCGAAAAUGAAUCAAAACUUUCAACAACGGAUCUCUUGGUUCUGGCAUCGAUGAAGAACGCAGCGAAAUGCGAUAAGUAAUGUGAAUUGCAGAAUUCAGUGAAUCAUCGAAUCUUUGAACGCACAUUGCGCCCGCCAGUAUUCUGGCGGGCAUGCCUGUCCGAGCGUCAUUUCAACCCUCGAACCCCUCCGGGGGGUCGGCGUUGGGGAUCGGCCCUUUACGGGGCCGGCCCCGAAAUACAGUGGCGGUCUCGCCGCAGCCUCUCCUGCGCAGUAGUUUGCACACUCGCAUCGGGAGCGCGGCGCGUCCACAGCCGUUAAACACCCCAAACUUCUGAAAUGUUGACCUCGGAUCAGGUAGGAAUACCCGCUGAACUUAAGCA